rnacentral:rRNA from 1 species
UACGUAGGGGGCAAGCGUUGUCCGGAUUUAUUGGGCGUAAAGCGCUCGCAGGUGGUUCGUUGCGUCGUGCGUGAAAGACCCCGGCUCAACUGGGGAGGGUCGUGCGAUACGGGCGAACUGGAGGCCAGUAGGGGGAUGCGGAAUUCCGGGUGUAGUGGUGGAAUGCGCAGAGAUCCGGAGGAACACCAGCGGCGAAGGCGGCAUCCUGGACUGGUCCUGACACUCAUGAGCGAAAGCGUGGGGAGCGAUCCGG